AGAGAUCAGCUGUGAUUCUCUGAGCUCAGCUCUGAAGUCCAACCCCUCCCAUCUGGAACAUCUGGACCUGAGAGGAAACAACCUGCAGGAUUCAUCAGUGAAACAUCUGUUAGAUCUUGUGGAGAGUCCAGACUGCAUCCUGAAGGCUCUGAGCUGGAAGUAUUGAUGAUCAGGACGGUGUUUGUGCUGAGAGGAUGAAGUGUGUCCUGAUGAUCCAGAUGUUGAAGCAGCAGCAGCUGGUGUGUAGAGACUCUGACUGGACCAUGUUACUGCACUGUAAAACAUCAGGAAUUCAUUCAGUCAAAUCAACUCAUCUGUUCUAGUUUACUUUAGAGACAUACAGGAAUUUUGCUAAUCACUAAUUAUUUGAACUUAAAAUGUUUCAUUUUUCUUCUCAGACCACUUUAAAAAUUAAUAACAUGAAUUUGUGCAACUUGGGACGUUUUGACUUCAAAUAUUGAGUUUAGAGAAUGAACCGCUCAGAGUUCAUUCAACUCAAUAAAUUAAUUUUUUUUUAGCUCCCCUCGCACACCGCCAAAGGUGGAGGACUUGUAUCUGUAUUCAAAACCUCCUUUCAUGUCCAGCAGUUUCCAGCUGUCAACUGCUCCAGUUUUAAGCUCCAAUUCUUCGAGGUAAAAACUCCUGUGAUUGUUCUCUGCACUGUGGUCUAUUGCCCACUGAAAUUUAAUAGAGACAUUAUACGAGACUUUGUAAAUUUUCUAUCAGGUGUUAUUCUUAAAUAUGAACACUUUCUAAUUGUCAGCAAAUUUUAACAUGCUUUUCUGCUGUGAGACCAGACCGCUGGCCAGAGAUUUUCUGAAUCUCACUGACUCUUUCAAUCUCACACAGUCUGUUUCAGAGCUCGCAAACGAAAAAGGAUGCAUUUUGGAUCUUGUACUGUCAUAUAGAUUGAAUGUUCAAAUAACUGAAAUCUGCCACACACCCUUAUCCGACCAUCUACCUGCUUUAUUUUCCUUCUCUCUGACUGCACCCUCCACCACGGCCUCCAUGCCUGUACGUCGUCUCUGUUUUUUUUUUAAUUCUUUGACUACCCUGCAGCUUUCUGCUGCUUGGAAAGAGUCUUAUUCUCUGGACGACUUUGGCGACCUCAGUGUUGAUGUCUGUAAUGAUGUUUGAUUCUCUCUGUACUGAGACUGUGGACUCUAUUGCACCAAUGACUCCAAAGAGCGUAAAGCCACAGACUGAGCCUUGGCUGAAGGAGUCCACUCCUGAGCUCACACACGCAUGUUCAUCUCCACUGGCUCCCCAUCCCACAACGCAUUCAGUUCAAAAUCCUCCUGCUGACCCACAAAGCCCUCCAUAACCACAUCCCUCCAUACCUCAGAGACCUGCUCCACCGUCACACUCCCACCCACGGCCUUCAGUCAUCUACUGCAAACCUUCUCUGCCCUCCGCUGAGAAACAAGCACCGAACCUGUGGGUACAGCGCAUUCUCUAUACCUGUCCCCACACUGUGGAACUCCCUGUCACAACACAUCCGCGACUGCACAGACCUGACAACCUUCAAAUGACUCCUCAAAACCCACGUGUUCAGAACUGCUUUUAACACAUAACAUCAGUUUAUGUUUAUGAUACGUUUCAUGACUUGUUUUAUUUUUAGAUUUUUAAUGUUUGAUGAUUUUUAUGUGAAGCGUUUUUGAGUGUUUUGAAAAGUGUGAUACAAAUAAAAUGUAUUAUUAUUAUUAUAAAGUUAGCCAGGCAGAGAGAAAGUGGAAAAAGGACAAUCUCCAAAUUUCUCGGGAUCUCCUUUGAAUUCAUCAGCAGGCUGUUACGUUAUAUAUUUCUCCUCACUUGUCUCCAAAAAUGCUCACAAACCUCAGAUCCUUUGUAGUGUAUCUGACUCACAAUCCUUGUGGUGCCGUCUCUGUUAAACCUUCUUCUUCUCUGUGCAAGGAGUUUUUUGUAAAGAAAAUUUAUGUUCUUAGAUCUCCACUGCCUCAAUUUCUACAGCAAGCUCAGCUGCUUUUCACCAGUUUCAGCCUGUUUAACUUAAUGCACUCGCUGAAAUUGUUGAGCACCUACGUCCUACUGUCAGCUCUGACAGCAUUUCAUCUCGAUUGUUUAAAAAGGUAUUCAGCUCAAUGGGGUCUUUUAUCUUAUUUCUUAUAAACCUGUGUCUCAGCUCUGGAUGCGUUUCAUCCUCCUUCAAACAUGCCACGGUGCAGCUUCUUUUUAAAAGGAAAAACUUAAUACCUUGAUUCUGUCUAAUUUCAAGCCAAUUUCUCAACUCCCUUUCAUUUUCAAGAUUUUGGAGAAAGUUCUUUUUAACCAACUCCAAGAAUUUUUGAAACGGGCCAACGUUAUUGACCUGUUUCAGUCUGGUCUUAAGCCUCUUCGUAGCACUGAAACUGUUCUUUUAAAAAAAAUUUAAUGGUCUUCUUCUAAACCUUGAUUCUGGUGCUUGUGCCUUUUUAGUUCUUCUAGAACUAACAGCAGCGUUUGACAGAGUGGAUCACACUAUUCUUCUGUCACUCCUUGAGCACUGUGUGGGCAUUAAGGGCACUGCUUUGGACUGCUUCAAAUCUUACCUUGCCGAUAGAUUUUUCUGUGUGCAGUUGAGGCAGUUUUCCUCCUCAGUGGCCCCUCUGAGGUUCCCCAGGGGUCAGUUCUGGGCCCUCUACUGUUCUCCCUUUAUAUGCUACCCCUGGAGUCAAUAUUUAGGAAGCAUGAUAUCCCCUUUCACUGCUUCGCUGACGAUGUGCAGGUCUACUUGCCAUUAAAGGUAGCUUCUAAGGAAUCUCUUCAUGCUGUGUUUAAUUGCAUGAGGGAUAUAAAAACAUGGAUAGACAAAUUUCUUGAGAUUAAAUAAAAACAAAACUGAGAUUGUCCUGUUUGGUCGCCCUGAUCUGGUCCAGGUCCUUACCAGCUCCCCUGGCACUCUAGCACCUUAUAUACGACUGCAGGCUAGGGAUCUUUGUGUUAUUAUUGAUGGGGCACUUAAAUUAGAUGAACAAAUCAGUUCAGUGAUCAAGGCUAGCUUCUUUCAGCUUCGGCUUCGAGCCAAAAUGAAACCUUAAGAAGGGCUGAUCUAGAUAAAGUUAUCCCUAUUUUUAUUACAUCGAGCUCAGACUAUUGUAACUACCUGUACACCAGCACUGGCCAAUGAGAAUUCAACCAGCUUGUUCACAAUGCAGCAGCUUGUCUCCUAACCGGAACAAAGAAAUGGAAGCACAGAACGCCAGUGCUUUCCUCACUUAACUGGCUUCCAGCUUGGUACAGGACUGAUUUUAAGAUUCUUUUAUUUGUUUUUGAGUCUCUGAAUGGACUGGCCCCAGAAUAUUUGUCUGACCUUGUUAAGGUGCAUCGACCCUCCAGAGCUCUUAGGUCAGCUGACCAGAUGGUUCUCGAUGUUCCUCCAUCUCUCAUGAAAAUCAGAGGAGAAAAUCAGUUGUGGCUUCCACACCGUGGAAUGCAUCGCCCCUCUCUGUCUGGUCUGCAAAUAGCCUCUCCAUUUCAAAAACGCGUCCGAAGACCCAGUUGUUCAUCCUGACCCUUGGCUGAGCAGAGUCACCUCUGAUUGAUAUUUAAUCUGUUUUAUUUCACUGUUUUGUUGUUUUGCUUUUAUUGUUUCUUAUUGUGCCCUGUGACAGACUGGUGACCUGUCCAGGGUGUCCCCUGCCUUCGCCCGAGUCAGCUGGGAUAGACUCCAGCACCCCCCAUGACCCUAGUGAGGAUAAAGCGGUGUAUAGAGAAUGGAUGGAUGUUUGUUAUUGUUGAUGAUUAUUUUACUGUAAAGCACUUUGGUUGGCCAUAAGCUUUUUUAAAUGUGCCAUUUAAAUAAAGCUGACAUCAACAAGUUCACAAAAAACAAAACAAACACAGAUUUCCCCGUUAAUGUUCACAUGAUACCAUGACUGUAAAAAAUGAUCUUUAUUUUACAACCAGUUCUGUUUGGUUUGUUAAAUUACAAACAAUAUCUAGUAAAGACAAGUAUUAACCUACAUGUUCAACUGUAAAUAAUGUCCACAUCAAAUAUCUGAAUUUUAAAAAGCAGUAAUUUGUUCUUUUACAACAUUUUUACUGUAUUUAAAUCAGCAACAAAUCUGAUUAUUUUCCAGAUAUUUGUCCUCAUUUUCAAGAGAAUUUAUGUAUAUUCAAAGGUGAAAAUGAGAAAUGUUUUUGUAUAUAGUUUACAUAUUUGCUGUGUUUGUUAAAUUACAGAUAAUCUGGAAUUAAAUCACAGAAAAAAGUGUUAAUUUAAUCAGGAUGUUCGCUGUUAAAAAAAAAAAACAGAUGAAAACUGCUGUAUAAAGUCCAGAUCAAAGUUCAGUAUUUUAAAAAAUGGUCAUUUGUUCUUUUACACCAUUUGACUGUUCAUUACAUUGUUUUUAACUGUAUUUAAAUCAGCAAAAAAUGUCAUUUUUACAAAUAUUUGAAAAACAAGCUAUCUAUAUUCAUUUAUAUAUUAAUUAUAUUAAAGGUAAAAAUGGUUGUAAAAAUAUUUCACUGUUUUUUUCACAUAUUUGCAAUAUUUUGUUAAAUUACAGAUAAUCUGUAGUAAAAUCAGAAAAAAAUGUUCCUUUCUACAGUUUGACUGUAAAACAAAAACAGCCAAAAUUGUCCAGUAAUGUUCACAUGAAAAAUCUUUCUUUUUCCAACUAGUAAAUUGUUGUUGUACAAUGUGUGACCAAUAAAAAUGACUGUUUUCCUGUUUUCACCUCAACAACAACUAUUCCAAUAAGUGACAGAUGUUUUCUGUCAUUUUCUCACUUUCUCCACUUCUUAAAUGUUGUGUUUCUCUCUUCAAACAUUUCCUCUGGCCUCCUUGCUGCCAGAUGUUCACCGUUCCUUUCCACAUAUUUUUUCCAGUGUGGAGGUUGAUGUCAGGUUGCAGAGUGUGCAGUAAGUUUCAGGAUGUUUGUUUCAGUGCAGGAUUAGAUUUGACUUUUCUUUCUAUUUCCAGCUGCAGUCAAACUUGUUGAUCUUCUCUACCUGCAGCACAUUGAGCUGUGAGUCACAGAGCAGGCAGCAGUUUGAGCUUUUAACCUGCAGGGGGCGUUUUACAGAUAUUCACCUCAUGUUUUACAACUUUAAACAUGUACAGGACAACACAGGCUUCUGUAACAUCAGUAUAAACACGAAAGAAAAAUGCACAAAUGUUCAUUCCUCCCUGAAGCUGAAGUGCCUCAAAUGUGCAAGAAAGUGAAGUGUUGGUGUAAUUACUGUCACUGCCAGAAGGGGGAGGCAAAGGUUCCACUGCAGGUUUAAACAUGAGCAGUUCUGCAGACAAAAACCUUUUUUACUAUCAGGACUCCAAAACCUGUCAGCAGCUCAGAAAGACGUGUUCUAUUUGAAGAAAAUGUAGAAAUAAAAGUCAACAAAAUGUCACCAUUUCAGAGCCACACAACGGUAGAAAACAGACUGAAGCUGAAUUCUAGACUUUAAACAGUCUGAGAACUGAUCAUGUGUGAUGUGAACAUCUGUGGGGAAAAUGAACCAAAUGUGAGAUUAAAACUGUGACAUUUAAAUGUCAGGAAUAUGGAAAUUCAACAUGUAAAUGGUUCAAUAUGUCUGCUAUGUAGAGUCACCACUUUUUCUCUGGUGUUGGUAACACCUGUGGACACGUGGAAAAUGUUUGGUUCCAGUUUUCUCCUCACUUUUUUUGGAAAAUAAAGAAACUCAACUUUCA